GGAGCGCACAGAACUGCAAGCAAAGGGCGGUGGGGCCUGGACCCUGAAGUGAGUGGCCGACCGCAGCAGCUCAAGGUGCCAUCUGCCUGGUCGCGAGGUGGCUUCAGACUGGGGCAACUGAUGCAGCAGAGAAGCGCAGAGCGCCCGGGGGGAGCGGGCAAAGAGGCACUACACUCCAGGGCGGCGCUUUGGAACCGUCCUUGGCCUGGGUGCACCUACUCUGGAUUCGCCCAGGCUGCAGAUGUUCUUUCCUUUUGCUGGGGCCACGGGGCAUAGCACCUGGGCAGAGCACCUGGGCAGAGCAAUCGAAGAGGCACCACACCCCCGAGAGGCGCUUCGGAGUUGUACUUGGACCGGGCGCAGACACUCAGUAUUGGUCAGCGCUGGAAAUUUUCUUGCCUUUUGCUGUUGGGGCCGCAGAACUAGUCUCCUCCUUUCCCCUGCUCAGACAAAGGGCACGGGAAGGGCUUUGCUGGGGCAAAGGGUGGUGGGGAGGUUCUCUUAACCGCGACAGAUGGGUCGCGGUUAAGACUUUAAUUGCUGACUUUUGGGCCGGAUCAGAUUCCUUUUCCUACCUGCCACUUCCCAACAGCGAAAAAAUCCCCCUCCUGCUGCACUCCUCCGCCACAGGGCUAGGAUGAAAGGAAAAAGCCAAGAAGCGCGAAAACAGCCCAGCUCUGGAAGACUUUAGAGAGUCCAGCUGACUUAUGCACAAUUCGCCGGCCUCUGGAGCCUUACCUGCCUUCUUGACAGAAUGCCACCAGUUUGUUUUACGCUUGUGGUGUGUCCCUCCCUCUCCCCUUCUCCUCCCCCUCCCCUCUCCUUAACUGCAAAAGAGCCUUUAUUUGACCUCUGUAAAUUUCUCCUUUGGUGUAUACAAAACUAAAAAGGAAAAAAUAUUGGCUAAGAGGUAUGCAUGCUUUGUAUAGUUUAUAUUUCAACAAUUUGCUUUUCACUGGUCUUUUCAGGAUUUGCCCUUUUGGCAAGUGUUUGAAAAUGUCAUUUGAGUUAACACAAAUAUGGCAAAGCAUCAAUUAUACUCUUCCUUUAAGAUGGCCUUGAGUUUACUAAAGACUGAAAAGAUGCUUUACAACUCUAGGCCUUGAUAUCCAACAUUUGUUAAUUUUUUCAAAACCUAACCAAAAACACGUGUUAAUUAGCAAUACUAUCUCUAUUAAAUAAGAAUUGUCAUAAAACACAAAAUGUAUUUAGAAAGGGCUUCUGUCUUACUGUCCAAUCUGUCCAGUGCUUUAUUUACAAAUAUAUUUGAAAAUGACAAAAAAAAGCAAUAAGAACAGAGUAUA
rnacentral:lncRNA from 1 species